UGUUCUUUUCAGAAAUUAGAUAGAAGGUCAUCCCCUUCUACCAGCAGUUUGGACUCUGGAAGUGAAUUGAAGGAGCGGCCAGUAAAAGGAGAAAGUGCACUUCAGCGUGUGGAGUGCAUUGCUGGCAAUACAUAUUGUUGUGACUGUGGCCAAUCAGACCCUCGUUGGGCAAGCAUUAAUCUUGGAAUCACACUAUGUAUUGAGUGUUCAGGAAUUCACAGGAGUCUCGGUGUCCAUUUUUCUAAGGUGCGUUCCCUUACUUUGGAUUCCUGGGAACCUGAGCUCUUAAAAGUUAUGUGUGCACUGGGAAAUAACGUUAUAAAUAGAAUAUAUGAGGCAAAAGUUGAAGAAAUGAAUUGUAAAAAGCCAAAUGCAGGAGAU